AACCGUUGGGGAAUUUUUUUUUUAUUCUGCCACCAUUUGAACCGUUGAGAAAUUGUUUUUCCCCAAUGGUUCAGCCAUUUGAGAAAUAUAUGCUUAUCCCAACAGUAGAAACCAAUGGGUUUUAUCUGCUAUACCUGUGGAAAUUACACUGGACAUCCAUUCCUGAAAGAACAUCCCUAGGAUCUAGUUCUGUGUAGCUAAUGAUAUAACAAGGGCUAUAGCAAGGCUGACAUGCUUGAGCUGUGCAGGCUACCCAUGAAAUUGGAACUGUGUAACUUUGUCUUGUGCUUCCUUUAGAAUAGCAAAUUCCUGUUGAAUUAAACAUGAGAACGUUCAAAACCCUAAGCUAAGCACCAUAUAUUACAUAAUAUCAAAAUGAGCUACUCGUCCUGGUCUUGAUUAAAAAUGAAUCCAACAGUCUCAGUGCACAUGGACCUUACAUUAUACAACAAAAAGACCGAGGCUGCAUCUCUAACUGACAUAUCCAAGAAAACAUAAGAAGCUCAGAAGGCUGUUUUGCUAUCUUUUGUCAAACGAAAAAAGAAGGUGAUCUUAAUGGUAAGAUUCUUGCUGCUGAGAAGAGCUUCAUACUUUCAACUGCGUUCGAUGAAACCACUUCAACCCAACUUUUGCUGCUUCUGAAAGAUCACCUCCCAACACAGGGCACCUUACUCGAAAACAAGCUCAUUCAACCUGGGAAUACAAAUUGCCAGAUUUCAGCACACCUCCAGGGCCAGUAGCAGUCAUUGCACCAAGCUGCAGGCCGGUUAAGACCUUCAUUUGUGGCGCUAGAUUAGCAUUAGACAUGCGCAGUCACUGGCGAAAGCUUCUUCCACCAAAGAAAAGAGCAGCUGUGGUUUGAGCUUUCACACAAUUUCUGGCGCUAAAACAGAGAUCCUGUUCAAUGGCGCCAUUUUAGCACCAGAGCUGAUGUACCUAUGUAUUACAAAUCUGACAUAAACCGUUGGAAGUCAAAUCGUACCUAUGUAUUGCAAAUCUGACAUAAUUGGAUAUGGUAGCUAAAGUUAUAUGGACCGAACCAACGUUGGAUGCAGACACUUUUCCUUUCCAUUUCAUCCCUCCCUUUCUUUCCCUUUCUCUCCAUCCAAACAAGCUUUUAAGGGUCAUUUGGCACCAUAACAAAUUGAUACUAUCUAAUGAAUUUGCCCUAAAAAUUGAACACUUUGCUACAAUGUUCCAUGAAUCUA